rnacentral:lncRNA from 1 species
UUCCGACGUCUGCCUCGUGAAGAUGCGGGAGAAAGCGAGCAUGCGCAUGAGGCGGCGGAGCUGCGGAAGUCUGGCGGCUGGGAGAUCGAGCGCGGCGACGAGGUCGGGGACGGAGGUGGGGCCGCCGUGGCGGUGGAUGGCGUCGGGUAUGCCGAGCUCGACGGCGCACUUGAGCGACAUGGAUUUGAGGAAGACGAACAGGUGGUUCCAUAAGUCGGAUUGAGCCGCGAUGAGUAGAUCGUCGUCCCAGUACUGCUCCAUGAUUUGUUGCUCCAACAAUAUAUUCUACUCGUCGGUGUUUCUUAAUUAAAUAUAUAAGUAUGAAAUAUAGUUCUUUACCAUUUUUUUAUAUUAUUAGCUAGUGUGUGGCCGGGAAUAGAGGGGAGGAUAAGGGCUCCCUCAAACACCAAUUUAGGGGGUGCCCACCCCAAAAGAGUUAUGCAGGAUAAUUAUUGAUUACUGCAUUUCUGGAAUGACUAGGUAUAAUUUAAAGAGAAUCAAGAUAUUAUUUUUUAUACUUAAUUUACAACAACACUUACAAAUACUGUAAACAUUUUUUUGUUUCCAAUUUUUUUUCUUCAUUAUUGAAGAAAAAAUUGUGGUGUUGUCGGAAUCAUCUUUUUUGAAAGAUAUUUUUAUUGUGAUCACGUCCUCCGAAAACGUGCCUUUUGGGAUCAACAGAUGAGAAGAAUUUCAGUAAGAAAUUUAACAUAGAGUCAGAGAUUGUUACAAUACUAAACAGAUUUCAAAAAAUAAUUUUAACAUUGUUGGUUGUAUGGAACAUCCAGAUGAAUACUAAUUAAAGAUAUUAUACUUAAAAAUUUUUAUUAUAAUGUAUAUAAAAAUAUUCUAAUGAAUAUUUUGACUGUAUUUUUUUAAUUAUAAUUUCUUCAAUCUUUAAUUCUUAAAAUUUUAUAUAAUAAUUAAUUAAAAUAAUAUUUAUUUGCAGCAAAACGCAAGUCUAAUACUAGUCCACUUUAAAGGGUGUAUAUGGUACGAUAGAAAAAGGAUCGAUUGUGCUGGCAAGGAUAAAGACAUGAAAAAAAAGAUCGUAGGAGAGCUCUGUAUCCAAUCCCUUCUCUUUGGGCCAUCUUUUCUUAUGCAUGCAUCGCGCGUUCAUCUUUCCUUUCUUCCAAGCAAGCCGCCUAUAGAAGGAUUAAUCUGCUGUGCUUUUUGGCUUUCGUUGAUUAUUAUACCGGAGAGUGAUGUUCCCGGGCAAGCCAUUAAUUAUUUAAUUAGUUAAUCAAUUAUAAAAAUAAAUCAAUUAUUAUGUAAAUACUUAUUAAUUUAAUUAUUUAAUAAUUAAUUAGCUAAUUAUUUAAAAAUUUUAAUUAUAUUAAUUAAUAAUAUUUUAUAAUGAUUUAUAAUUUAAUUAGUACAUAAAUAAGAUAGAGGAUAAUUUAUUCUAUUUAAUAGGCGAAACUACUAUUUUUCUCUCUUACCAGGUGAUUUCAAAAUAAUCCAUUAAGGCUGCGUUUGGUUACAGGAUUUAAUAGGAAUAACACAUUUUAUUCUUGCAAUUCUGCCAAGCAUAAGUAAAAUUGGAAGGGAUAUUUACACUACUACAGGUACAAGAUUUAGUGGCGACAAAUGUUGCCAUCAUAGCCAAAAUUGUCGCUACGAAAAACGUUUUGGCGGCGACAAUUUGUCGCCGCAUGCCGCUGCCUAAAAUUCCGUCGGUAAAACUAUUUGGUGGCGACAUAUAGUCACCGCGAAAAGUUAGAUAAUUAGCGGCGACAUACUGUCGCCGUCAAAACUUUAAAUAAUUAAUUUUAUGUCUACUUUUAUGGUGGCGACUAUUGUCGCCACCAAUUUUUUGAUCUAAAAUUAAUUUUUUUAAAAAAAUAAUUAGUAGUAAUAGAUAUUAUUAAUUUACUAUAAAAAUUUUAAUUGCUCUCAUUCUUAACUUUUAACCUUUAAUUUCAAUUUAAUCCUCUCAAAACCAAAUUAAAUCCAAGCACAUGGCUCAAACACCUUAGAACCAAUAUAUAUUAAAUCUAGUUGAAUCUCUAUAAAGUAUUUGAUCAUAAAAUUAAUCCACACAAAUAAGUAAGACUGAAUCAAAUUUUAAAUAUUAAGAAGAGUACAAAUAAUCAUAUAAGGCAAAUAAGUAACUUAAAUUGUCUCACAAGAACCAUAUUAGAGUAUCAUUGUCAUCUUAUACAAUCACCCAACACAUCCACAAAAUAAAAAACAAUAAUAGUGUUUUUGUCAUUUCUACAUGCUAUCAAAUAUAAAUUUAUCAAAAUAUGUCUAAAUUCUUAAAUUUGAUUCAAUACGUCACGAAAAUACUGCCAAAAUAUUUCUCGUCACACCUCUUAUAAAUCUGCAAAUAAAAAUAAAAAAAAAUUAGCUUUUCAACAUUUGUUGAUCCCUAAAUUGAUGACGGAAAUAAUAUAAGAAUAAAAAGACCAAGUACAUAGAUAACAAUGUCGGCUAUGAAUAAUAUAACAGACAGAAACCAACAUUAAUUCAAUUCACGUAUCCAUGUAUAACUACAAUGGUUAAACAUGUCAGGCAAUAUGGCAUCAAUGAUUCCAGAAGGCAACAACAAAAAAAAUAAGCUUAUCAGGAUGUAGACAAUAUGCUUACCAGGAUGUAGACAUCUCGGCCCUGCAUAAAAAAUACAAGAACAAUUAUGAUAUAAAAAGACGAAAAGGGUUCAUUUCAAACGAUCAAAUAAUUGAGGGGUCCUCAGCAUUUUCAAUCUCCAUAUCAAUUAUGUAUUCUCCAGAGAAAAAAUAACUGUUCAUCUAUAAGCAUAACAUUUCUAAAUGUAACGAGGAAAAAGAAAUUCAUAGGAGGGCACAGAUGUCAAUCAAAAGGCAACAAAGAAAACAUUCCAAAGGCCAGCAAAUUCAACGACUAUAAUAUCAAUGCUUUUACUAGAAUAGAUGUCAGACAUCUUACGUUCAAAAUAACAUCCAGUUGUAAAGAUUACAAUUACAAUAUUAUUUUCACGGGCUUUAAAAACAAAAGCUAUCAUUCUUUGAGUAAAAUACAAACUUGCCAAAACUUCUAUUGGUACAUAUCAUAAUCACUAGCGACGCCAGAUCCAGAUCAUAAAUACAAUCAAAUCAAACUGUAGCAGAAGGUGGACAAGUGGGUAGUUUGGGUUGGGAACUAAAAAAGGGGGUUGGCUCAUGAUUCUAGUUUGAAGAAACUAGGUAGGAAAAGAUAAACAACAGAGUAAUAAGCUUAAGCACAAGGUAAACCUUUUAACAACCAUAGGAUUACACCUAUCACAAUAUCGACAACUGCAUAAAUGCACUGGGUUUCACCUAUCUCGAUAUUGACAACUGCAUUAAUGUUUGUAAACCAAAACUAAUGCACGAAGGGAUUGAAUGAGGCAGACAAGAUAAACAGUCAAUAAUUGCUGAACAUGGAAGUUCCAUUCAAAUAACUGUAAAACAGAAAUAAUUGCUGAACAUGGAAGUUCGAUAAUUGCUUAGUGCAGUAUAAAUCAACUUAGUCUACAAUGCAAACUCAACAUUAGAGGAAAGAACCGAUGAAAGUUCCGAUAGAUCAGCUACCUCAAUAGAACUGUCCGUGUCUGGAGAAGGAAGAGGAGGAAGAGGAGGAAGAAGAAGAAGGGUAAAUACGUCAAUUCACACUAUAAUUAACCAUGGUUAAGUAUUUUAACCGUGGUUAACGAAAAUUUUCUACCAGAUCUGGACGGCAGGGACAUAUCUGCAUAACUUAGGACUUUUGUAGAGACAACUUAUGGAGUUUCCGUUUUGCAGAAAUAUUUUCACAAUUCACUAUGUUUGUAGGGACGUGUAUACAAAUAACCCUAUUAUUAAUAGUAGUAAAAGGUAAAUAAACAAAAGUCCAUACUAUUUUAUCCAACAAUCACAAUUCAUAACAAGCUCCAAGUCCAACUAAAAGUUCACCUCGAAAGAAAUUUCAUUUUAAGGAAACACUUCAAUAACUGAUCGAAGUCCAAGCGUGGCAGCAAUCUUAUAAUCACUGAACCCCGCCUCAGUGAAUAUUUUGCACCAUUCCUGCUCAUCUCUCUCGCGUCCCCCGGUCAGGAUCAUCAUCCACACGUCGAAGAAGUGCUGCAUCUCCGUCGACUUCUCUUCCGGGCUCGACCCUAUCACCUGCUCCACGACGAUCACCUUCCCUCCGGCCUCUCUCGAUGGGAUCGCCUCCUUGCACUUCUGCAGUAUCCUCACGCAAACUUCAUCGUCCCAGUCAUGCAGAAUCCACUGUGAUCAUCAGUUUAUUUUGUGAAGUGCCAACAACUUAACUAUAUAUAGAGUGUUCUAAUUAACCAAAAUUGUAAAAUCCAAUAUAAACAUAUAUCCUAAGUAACCACCAUUUAGAGUAGCUAGUUGUUACUCUGAAGACUGUACUUAAAGUCGAUUAGGAGGCUCGAAAUUUCACUCAUGCGUAUCAAACAAAAGAGCUUUGAGUUCCCAACUUCUCGGAUUACAAGUAGUAUUAAUUUUGCAGUAGUUUGGUAGUGGAAAGAAAGCAGGAGCGGAAUUUUAUUUUGACCUUCAACAUCACAGCAUCCGCCGGAGGAACGCGCUCGACCAUGCUGCCCGCGACAAAGUCAACGGGCCCGUCGAUGGUUCCUAGGGGAACUGAGAACAACGGGCCCGUCGAUGGUUCUGAAACAAUCUGUUAAAAAUUGUUCUAAGGAAACUGAGAACAACUUUGUUCUUCUCUUUAUUUUACUAGAUAAAUAGAUAUAUAAAUAAAUAUAUUAAUAUAAAUAUUAUUUUUAUGAUAAUAUAUUUAUACUUAAAUUUUAUUAUAUAAUAUAAAUUAAUUAAAUUUGAUAUAUUAUUUAUUUUAUUAUGUUUUAUUAUUUAUAUAUUAAUAUUUAAUUAUUUUUUUAUAUUCAGUAUUAUAUAUAUAAUUAUUUUUUCAUGCAUUAUAUAUUUUUUAAAAUUUGUAUUGAAAUUUAUACUAUUAUUAAUUAAAAUUAUAAGAAUAUCUCUACAUAUAUUAUAAAUAAAUUAUAUAAAAUAAAUUGUUAUUAUAUAUAGUAAAAUAAAUAUACUAUUUUAAAUUAAAUUGUUACAUAAAAUAUUAUAUUAUAAAUUACUAUAAGAAAUAAUUUAUAAAUAAUUUUAUAUAAAAUAUACUAAUAUAAAUUAAUUAUUUUAUUUUUAAAAAAUAUUUAAACAUUGUUCUACACUUUUUAUCCAAACGCUAAUAAGGAUAUUCUCUAGAAUAUUUCCGAAUGCAUUCAAAUAUAAAUUUAUAAUUGUUCUUUCUCCAAAACUUAGUUCUCUAACCAAACGCACUCUUAGGAGUAUAUUAGAAAUAGAUUGGAACGUAAAAAAAAGUAUUUUCAAUAUUAGUCUUGUAAGAGGACUAAAUCAGAAAGUCAGAAAUUUUUCAGAAAUAUAUAGAUAAUUGCCGCUAAUUAAAAAUACAAUAGUUAUAAUUAUAUGCAUUUUAUUUGAUUUGAUAUAGUAGAAUAGUUAUAAUUAGAAAUAAUUUGUUUAGUUACAUACAAUUCAAAUAAUAAUGUUGGUUAACAGCAGCUUAUUCACCUUUAACAUCACGGCAUCCGCCGGAGGAACGCGCUCGAACAUGCUGCCCGCGAUAAAUUCCACGGGCCCGUCUGCCGGCAGUCCCUGGACCACCUGAGGCAGAUCGAGAACCACACACUUGACGUCCGGAAAUGCCUCUACUAUGGUGCGGGCGGCAGCGCCGGUCCCCCCACCGACGUCAACCAGUGACCGCAGCCCGCAAAAGACAUGCCCGCAUUUCCUGACGACCACGUCCAUUAUGAACCUCCCGUCCGCCGCCAUGCCCUCGUUGAACGCCGCGUUGAACUCCGGGUUCCGGCUCGUCAAGCCCCAGAUAUUGCUUCCGUACAGCGCCUCAAAUGGCGUCGCGAUGCCGUCGGCUUCUUUAAACCAGUCGCCUAAGCGCAGCGACGGCGCCAUCAUCACCGGGUCGAACAUCGAGCGCACAAACGGCGCGAGGCUGCGGCGGCCUCCGGCGUCGUCGACGAGCAGGCGGGACGUCGGCGUGAGGCCGUACAAAUCCUCCUCCUCCCCGCCGGCGGCGGCUUCCGACGUCUGCCUCGUGAAGAUGCAGGAGAAAGCGAGCAUGCGCAUGAGGCGGCGGAGCUGCGGAAGUCUGGCGGCUGGGAGGUUGAGCGCGGCGACGAGGUCGGGGACGGAGGUGGGGCCGCCGUGGCGGUGGAUGGCGUCGGGUAUGCCGAGCUCGACGGCGCACUUGAGCGACAUGGAUUUGAGGAAGACGAACAGGUGGUUCCAUAAGUCGGAUUGAGCCGCGAUGAGUAGAUCGUCGUCCCAGUACUGCUCCAUGAUUUGUUGCUCCAACAAUAUAUUCUACUCGUCGGUGUUUCUUAAUUAAAUAUAUAAGUAUGAAAUAUAGUUCUUUACCAUUUUUUUAUAUUAUUAGCUA